rnacentral:tRNA from 1 species
UGUCAAGGGAUGGGAAUCGAACCCACGACCUUCCGCUUACCGGGCAGAUGCCAUGACCACUACGACCUAGGAC